CUACGGGAGGCUGCAGUGGGGAAUAUUGCACAAUGGGCGCAAGCCUGAUGCAGCCAUGCCGCGUGUGUGAAGAAGGCCUUCGGGUUGUAAAGCACUUUCAGCGGGGAGGAAGGCGGUGAGGUUAAUAACCUCAUCGAUUGACGUUACCCGCAGAAGAAGCACCGGCUAACUCCGUGCCAGCAGCCGCGGUAAUACGGAGGAUGCAAGCGUUAAUCGGAAUUACUGGGCGUAAAGCGCACGCAGGCGGUCUGUCAAGUCGGAUGUGAAAUCCCCGGGCUCAACCUGGGAACUGCAUUCGAAACUGGCAGGCUAGAGUCUUGUAGAGGGGGGUAGAAUUCCAGGUGUAGCGGUGAAAUGCGUAGAGAUCUGGAGGAAUACCGGUGGCGAAGGCGGCCCCCUGGGCAAAGACUGACGCUCAGGUGCGAAAGCGUGGGGAGCAAACAGGAUUAGAUACCCGAGUAGUC
rnacentral:rRNA from 1 species